UACAUGGGGUGCAAACGUUGCUCGGAAUUAUUGGGCGUAAAGCGCGCGUAGGCGGUUACUCAAGUCGGAUGUGAAAGCCCUCGGCUUAACUGAGGAAGUGCACCCGAAACUGAGUAGCUAGAGUACUAAAGAGGGUCGCGGAAUUCCCGGUGUAGAGGUGAAAUUCGUAGAUAUCGGGAGGAACACCGGUGGCGAAGGCGGCGACCUGGGUAGAUACUGACGCUGAGGCGCGAAAGCGUGGGGAGCAAGCAGG
rnacentral:rRNA from 1 species